rnacentral:lncRNA from 1 species
AAAGCAUCAGGACAAGUCAAGAAGGAAGAAAGGACAAAUGUUUAUCUUUUGGCAUCUUUAAUGGUACAUUCUUGCAUUCUGAAUGAGGGCUCUCCACUUUUGCUGUGCACUGGGCUGUGCACAUUAUAUAACUGGCCUUGAUUUUUUUUCUUUUCUGUGUUACGGAGGCUAGAGUGCUACAAAUUCUUUAAAAAUUAGAGUUCUGCAUGCAAAAUAGGUUCCACAAAGAAGAAGCACUUGCAAGAGAUUUGUAUGGGGAAAAAAAAAUAAAGAGGCCAUUUUCCUGCUUCUCUGCUGCGGUGCUUGAGCUGUCGGGGUUGCGGAGAUACUGAUACCCAUCGCCAGCCUGUGGAGAUGCUGGAGCUACAGCGGCAAAGGGCAAAAGGAGGCUUCUCUUCCAGGGCCGGAGAAUAGCAAGGCUGCUGGGGUAUCUUAAAUCCUUUCCUUCUGAGCGCUAGAUCACAGGGAUCGAACUCAGGACCUUCUGCUUGGGAGGCAGGUGGUGGCACCACUUCAACCAUGGAUUUUAUUCCCCUAUAAUUUCAAAAGCAAGUGACCAAAAAGAAAUUUCUCAACACCCCGAUCACCUCCCGAAGGAGACAAAUAGGUAUGACUCUAAACUGAUAUGUUCAAAUGGGCAUAAAAAUUGGAUGUGGUGGCGCACACCUGUGAUCCCAGCACUCAGGAGGCUGAGACAGGAGGACUGCUUCAAGUUCAAGGCCA